rnacentral:rRNA from 1 species
GACGAACGCUGGCGGCGCGCUUAACACAUGCAAGUCGAACGGAAAGGCCUGCUUUCCCUUGUGGAUUGCGGGUACUCGAGUGGCGAACGGGUGAGUAACACGUGAGUGAUCUGCCCCCGACUUGGGUAUAAGCCUGGGAAACUGGGUCUAAUUCCCGAUAGGACUGCAGGGUGGUGCCUGUGGUGGAAAACGAUUUUCUAGUGGUUGGGGAUGAGCUCGCGGCCUAUCAGCUUGUUGGUGGGGUAAUGGCCUACCAAGGCGGCGACGGGUAGCCGGCCUGAGAGGGUGGACGGCCACAUUGGGACGGGGAUACGGCCCAGACUCCUACGGGAGGCAGCAGUGGGGAAUAUUGCACAAUGGGCGGAAGCCUGAUGCAGCGACGCCGCGUGGGGGAUGACGGCCUUCGGGUUGUAAACUCCUUUCGACCGCGAGGAAGCCACCUGGUUGGAAGGGUGGUGACGGUAGUGGUAGAAGAAGCACCGGCGAACUACGU